rnacentral:rRNA from 1 species
UACAGAGGUCUCAAGCGUUGUUCGGAUUCAUUGGGCGUAAAGGGUGUGUAGGUGGCGCGCUAAGUCGGGUGUGAAAUUUCGGAGCUUAACUCCGAAACUGGCAUUCGAUACUGGCGUGGCUUGAGGACUGGAGAGGAGACUGGAAUUCAUGGUGUAGCAGUGAAAUGCGUAGAGAUCAUGAGGAAGACCAGUGGCGAAGGCGGGUCUCUGGGCCGAUACUGACGUGAGGAGCGAAAGCGUGGGGGAGCGAACAGG